AGAGAGAGAGAGAGAGAGAGAGAGAGAGAGAGAGAGAGAGAGAGAGAAAUAACUUGCCUAUAGGAUUGAGAACAAAACUGAUCCAAAGUUCCCAGACAUUGUCUCUCAUUAGGGUAAGAGCUCAGAUGGAUUGGCACUUAAAAUUAAAGUAUGCUUUAGAGGGUCCUAGGGAUGCAAGCAAGGUCACAUGUUGGUGUCAGCAAAAGCCAAGGAGAAAACCAGCAGUAUACCCACUAAUUGUAAAGUGAGUAUUGGGUAAUCACACAUAGUGUGUAAAGGAGAGACAGAAAAGAGAGAUAAAACAUUGAUAGUGAGAAAAAGUUAGACAGGCAUGAGCCAGAGAAGCAGGCAAAGGUCCAAUGAGAAUGAAUUCAAGGCAGGGUACAGAUAACCCUAGACACAGAGACACAGAAUCCCAUCUACAACCCUGAAAUGCCAAGGUGUGGCUGUGCACCUGGUUCUAUGCACCUGUGUGGACUUCCAUUGGCUACAAGGUUGUGGGAAGAAGCAGCAAGAGGCUUUCAGCAAACAGGUGCCUCCAAUAAGUUUUCCUACAAAGGAAAGGACUUUGCCCUAAGGAGGUUCAGUGGGUGGAGGUCACAUGGCUGGGUGGCCAUUUGCAGUAUGAGGAAAUGUAUGAGUGGAACAGAUUCCAUCCUGUUUUGUUUGUUGGUUUAUUAGUUGGUUUUGGUGUUGGUGUUGGGGUUGGUUGUGGUUUUGCUUUUGGUUGUUUGAUUGAUUGAUUUCAUUUACAUAGAUAGAUAGAUUGAUAGAUAGAGAGAUAUGUAAAUUUUUUCCAUCUGGUCUUUGUUUGGAGGCCUACAGGAAAUCUUGAGAUUUGGCGACUGGGCGUGGCUUCCAUGCCUGUGUGUGGCAGCCAUCUUGAGACUGGGCGUGGCUGAGGUCCCACCUGUCAGGGGCAGUUAUAAAAGGGCAUGCCUGACAGAGGCAAGGGCUUCUAAGCUCUGAGCUUCUGUCUGUAGGUGUUCUCUCUCUGCUCAGGAGAGCACACACCCGACUAGAGGCAGGUCACAAGGUGAGUCUGGCGUGCAGAUCGAACCUAGAGAAUCCAGCCCUGUCCUCGGGAGUGGUCAUGGAGACUAGCUCCGAGGCAGGUGUUCUGCAGAAGCUGCUGGAUCGCCUUUGCCAGGAGACCGACCCAGGAAAGAUCUACAAAACGCUGAAGAAAAUGUCUUCUCUUCCUUCUCUGUGUGACUGCCUUGCAGAGAUUGGCUUCAGAAAGACCAUCAAGUCCUUGAAGAAACAGCAACUCCUCGUGCCCUUUGUAAAGGACUUAGUGGCCCAGUGGUCCACUGGGUUCCUGCAUGGGCCCCAGCCUGAGCAGACCCGGCAGGACUUUGGCUUGGAGAAGGGCCUCACAACGGAGGGCCGGAGCACCUCCCCAGAAGAGAAGCCCCAGGAGCAAGCAUCCCAGGAAGUCCACGGAGAUGGGAGAGAGGUUUUUCCUUGGGCUUUGCAGCUGCUGCCCAGGCAGCAGCUCUUGCCUAAGCCAGAGCCGAAAAUCACACCAAAGUUCCAACCGUAGGGCACCUCACAUUCGAAGCCCGCAUCCAGGAGAAAACUGGAGCCCUGAGCUGCAGCAAGAUGUCCAGAACCUGGUGCACCUAGGAACGUCCAGGGCGAGCCUGGAGGAGCCUUGGCAGCAGGAAGGGGCCAAGCCCCUGUCCAGAAAGCCAGGGGCUGGGCCACAGGAGCCCACUGGGCUUGUGUUUGGUGGGCACAGCAAGUGUCAGCCACCAGGCAACUGGGAGCAGGAGGAAGCCCCUGGAGCUGGUUCGUCCUGGGCUUGCCUCAAUGGGGAGUGCUGCUCUCCUUCCUCUUCGGAGUGUCCACGGGGCAAGAGGCAGAGGUGGGAAUCCCGGUGUCCAGCCGAGGCCCAGAGUCCUCCUGCAAAGGUGCCUCGAGAGGAGUCUGGAAGCUCCAUGGAUCUGAGUCCCAUUGCUGCCAGCACCAUUCCAGAGACUCCCUCCAGUGGCCAAGUCUGGUUCAAAUGGGAUCUUGCCCAGGAGACAUUUUCCUCUCAGCAGGAUCAUGAAGCCUCAGCUUGGGGGUGGGAGCUCAGGAAGCAGCACAGAACCCGAGUCUAUUCAGGUUGCAGGCCUGCAGCAGGACCCCAGCAGAAGCGCACUGGAACCAGGGAUGGUGCUCACUGCCAGGCUGGCAAGGACAAAGUUGGGCUUGGGCAGCCAGAAGAGAAGUCCUGGCCCCAGGGCCGCAGGUGCAAGGAAUCCUACAGCCAGCCUGAGGCCCCCACAGCCCUGCAGCUUCAGGGGUCCCAAGAGGAGAGGCUGCAAACCCUCAUAGGCCGCCUCCAAAGCACAGGAGCCAAGAGGCCUCAACCCAGACAGACGAUGAUGGUCUCCUUCAUCACCGAGCUCAAGAGCCCCAGCCAACAAGGACAGCCAGGACCCACUGGGGCUGCCUCUGCCCAAAAUGCCCACAGUCUUCCUGAGGCUCCUGCCCAUCCUCCAGCCCAGAGGGCUUCCUGCCUUCUCCUUGGGGAAAGAGGCACCAAGAAGGGCCCUGCUAAAAGACCUGCUCCUCUCAUGGCCAAGGCCCUGAAGGACUACAGAAAGUGCUUCUAUAAAAGGUGAACCCCAGAUGAUUUCCAUCACCAGAAAACCUGCAACUCCUGAGAUUGGACUGACUGGACACACAGGCACUUCCCUCCAGGGACUGCCACAUGGUACACCCUGGGUUUAGGGCUCCGGGCAGACUUCCCAGCAGCUAAUCUUGGCAUUCUCACUGGACUUCUUUACACAGUUUUCCACACCUUAACUUUUGUCCCAUGUCAAUUCUCAAAACAUCUUCAAAAAUAAAUCAAUAUCUCUCCCACAAUCAACUUUGUGGGUUUGUCUCUACAUUACUUGUGAAGGAUUGAUACCCAUGGACCUAGAUACAGUUUAGCAGUUGGACAAAGAGACUAACAGUCUGCCUGCUGACAGUUUUGCAAAGACGCAUGUAGGAUCGUAGAUGGUAGAAGAGAUACCUAGAGUCACAAAGAGAAGUAGGCACAUCAAUAUGUUUGUGGAAGUCUGGCAGUAGACUUGAUAUCAGUGCCCACAAACCAGUAGGAAUCAAGGCAGUUUGUGUGUGUGUGUGUGCCUGUGUGUGUGUGGGGGGGAAUGUGCAUGUAUAUGUGUGUGCAUGCAUGCCCUCAUGUGUGUGUAUUUUUUUAUGGGUAUGUGUCUGUGAGUGUGUUCAUGUGUGUGUGUGGUACAACUAUUUGUAUGUGUGUGAUGAAGAAAAGGAAAGUUACACGAGUACAGAGAGGCAGAGAGAGAGAGAGAGAGAGAGAGAGAGAGAGAGAGAGAGAUAGAGAGAGAGAGAAAUAACUUGCCUAUAGGAUUGAGAACAAAACUGAACCAAAGUUCCCAGACAUUGUCUCUCAUUAGGGUAAGAGCUCAGAUGGAUUGGCACUUAAAAUUAAAGUAUGCUUUAAAGGGUCCUAGGGAUGCAAGCAAGGUCACAUGUUGGUGUCAGCAAAAGCCAAGGAGAAAACCAGCAGUAUACCCACUAAUUGUAAAGUGAGUAUUGGGUAAUCACACAUAGUGUGUAAAGGAGAGACAGAAAAGAGAGAUAAAACAUUGAUAGUGAGAAAAAGUGAGACAGGCAUGAGCCAGAGAAGCAGGCAAAGGUCCAAUGAGAAUGAAUUCAAGGCAAGGUACAGAUAACCCUAGACACAGAGACACAGAAUCCCUUCUACAACCCUGAAAUGCAAAGGUGUGGCUGUGCACCUGGUUCUAUGCACCUGUGUGGACUUCCAUUGGCUACAAGGUUGUGGGAAGAAGCAGCAAGAGGCUUUCAGCAAACAGGUGCCUCCAAUAAGUUUUCCUACAAAGGAAAGGACUUUGCCCUAAGGAGGUUCAGUGGGUGGAGGUCACAUGGCUGGGUGGCCAUUUUGCAGUAUGAGGAAAUGUAUGAGGAGAACAGAUUCCAUCCUGUUUUGUUUGUUGGUUUACUUAGUUGGUUUUGGUGUUGGUGUUGGUGUUGGUUGUGGUUUUGCUUUUGGUUGUUUGAUUGAUUGAUUUCAUUUACAUAGAUAGAUAGAUUGAUAGAUAGAGAGAUAUGUAAAUUUUUUCCAUCAGGUCUUUGUUUGGAGGCCUACAGGAAAUCUUGAGAUUUGGCGACUGGGCGUGGCUUCCAUGCCUGUGUGUGGCAGCCAUCUUGAGACUGGGCGUGGCUGAGGUCCCACCUGUCAGGGGCAGUUAUAAAAGGGCAUGCCUGACAGAGGCAAGGGCUUCUAAGCUGUGAGCUUCUGUCUGUAGGUGUUCUCUCUCUGCUCAGGAGAGCACACACCCGACUAGAGGCAGGUCACAAGGUGAGUCUGGCGUGCAGAUCGAACCUAGAGAAUCCAGCCCUGUCCUCGGGAGUGGUCAUGGAGACUAGCUCCGAGGCAGGUGUUCUGCAGAAGCUGCUGGAUCGCCUUUGCCAGGAGACCGACCCAGGAAAGAUCUACAAAACGCUGAAGAAUAUGUCUUCUCUUCCUUCUCUGUGUGACUGCCUUGCAGAGAUUGGCUUCAGAAAGACCAUCAAGUCCUUGAAGAAACAGCAACUCCUCGUGCCCUUUGUAAAGGACUUAGUGGCCCAGUGGUCCACUGGGUUCCUGCAUGGGCCCCAGCCUGAGCAGACCCGGCAGGACUUUGGCUUGGAGAAGGGCCUCACAACGGAGGGCCGGAGCACCUCCCCAGAAGAGAAGCCCUAGGAGCAAGCAUCCCAGGAAGUCCGCAGAGAUGGGAGAGAGGUUUUCCUUGGGCUUUGCAGCUGCUGCCCAGGCAGCAGCUCUUGCCUAAGCCAGAGCCGAAAAUCGCACCAAAGGUCCAACCGUAGGGCACCUCACAUUCGAAGCCCGCAUCCAGGAGAAAACUGGAGCCCUGAGCUGCAGCAAGAUGUCCAGAACCUGGUGCACCUAGGAACGUCCAGGGCGAGCCUGGAGGAGCCUUGGCAGCAGGAAGGGGCCAAGCCCCUGUCCAGAAAGCCAGGGGCUGGGCCACAGGAGCCCACUGGGCUUGUGUUUGGUGGGCACAGCAAGUGCCAGCCACCAGGCAACUGGGAGCAGGAGGAAGCCCCUGGAGCUGGUUCAUCCUGGGCUUGCCUCAAUGGGGAGUGCUGCUCUCCUUCCUCUUCGGAGUGUCCACGGGGCAAGAGGCAGAGGUGGGAAUCCCGGUGUCCAGCCGAGGCCCAGAGUCCUCCUGCAAAGGUGCCUCGAGACGAGUCUGGAAGCUCCAUGGAUCUGAGUCCCAUUGCUGCCAGCACCAUUCCAGAGACUCCCUCCAGUGGCCAAGUCUGGUUCGAAUGGGAUCUUGCCCAGGAGACAUUUUCCUCUCAGCAGGAUCAUGAAGCCUCAGCUUGGGGGUGGGAGCUCAGGAAGCAGCACAGAACCCGAGUCUAUUCAGGUUGCAGGCCUGCAGCAGGACCCCAGCAGAAGCGCACUGGAACCAGGGAUGGUGCUCACUGCCAGGCUGGCAAGGACAAAGUUGGGCUUGGGCAGCCAGAAGAGAAGUCCUGGCCCCAGGGCCGCAGGUGCAAGGAAUCCUACAGCCAGCCUGAGGCCCCCACAGCCCUGCAGCUUCAGGGGUCCCAAGAGGAGAGGCUGCAAACCGUCAUAGGCUGCCUCCAAAGCAAAAGAGCCAAGAGGCCUCAACCCAGACAGACGAUGAUGGUCUCCUUCAUCACCGAGCUCAAGAGCCCCAGCCAACAAGGACAGCCAGGACCCACUGGGGCUGCCUCUGCCCAAAAUGCCCACAGUCUUCCUGAGGCUCCUGCCCAUCCUCCAGCCCAGAGGGCUUCCUGCCUUCUCCUUGGAGAAAGAGGCACCAAAAAGGGCCCUGCUAAAAGACCUGCUCCUCUCAUGGCCAAGGCCCUGAAGGACUACAGAAAGUGCUUCUAUAAAAGGUGAACCCCAGAUGAUUUCCAUCACCAGAAAACCUGCAACUCCUGAGAUUGGACUGACUGGACACACAGGCGCUUCCCUCCAGGGACUGCCACAUGGUACACCCUGGGUUUAGGGCUCCGGGCAGACUUCCCAGCAGCUAAUCUUGGCAUUCUCACUGGACUUCUUUACACAGUUUUCCACACCUUAACUUUUGUCCCAUGUCAAUUCUCAAAACAUCUUCAAAAAUAAAUCAAUAUCUCUCCCACAAUCAACUUUGUGGGUUUGUCUCUACAUUACUUGUGAAGGAUUGAUACCCAUGGACCUAGAUACAGUUUAGCAGUUGGACAAAGAGACUAACAGUCUGCCUGCUGACAGUUUUGCAAAGACGCAUGUAGGAUCGUAGAUGGUAGAAGAGAUACCUAGAGUCACAAAGAGAAGUAGGCACAUCAAUAUGUUUGUGGAAGUCUGGCAGUAGACUUGAUAUCAGUGCCCACAAACCAGUAGGAAUCAAGGCAGUUUGUGUGUGUGUGUGUGCCUGUGUGUGUGUGGGGGGGGAGUGUACAUGUAUAUGUGUGUGCAUGCAUGCCCUCAUGUGUGUGUAUUUUUUAUGGGUAUGUGUCUGUGAGUGUGUUCAUGUGUGUGUGUGGUACAACUAUUUGUAUGUGUGUGAUGAAGAAAAGGAAAGUUACACGAGUACAGAGAGGCAGAGAGAGAGAGAGAGAGAGAGAGAGAGAGAGAGAGAGAGAGAGAGAGAGAGAGAGAGAGAGAAAUAACUUGCCUAUAGGAUUGAGAACAAAACUGAUCCAAAGUUCCCAGACAUUGUCUCUCAUUAGCGUAAGAGCUCAGAUGGAUUGGCACUUAAAAUUAAAGUAUGCUUUAGAGGGUCCUAGGGAUGCAAGCAAGGUCACAUGUUGGUGUCAGCAAAAGCCAAGGAGAAAA